rnacentral:rRNA from 1 species
AUUGAACGCUGGCGGCAGGCUUAACACAUGCAAGUCGAGCGGGGUGAUGGUGCUUGCACUAUCACUUAGCGGCGGACGGGUGAGUAAUGCUUAGGAAUCUGCCUAUUAGUGGGGACAACAUCUCGAAAGGGAUGCUAAUACCGCAUACGUCCUACGGGAGAAAGCAGGGGAUCACUUGUGACCUUGCGCUAAUAGAUGAGCCUAAGUCGGAUUAGCUAGUUGGUGGGGUAAAGGCCUACCAAGGCGACGAUCUGUAGCGGGUCUGAGAGGAUGAUCCGCCACACUGGGACUGAGACACGGCACAGACUCCUACGGGAGGCAGCAGUGGGGAAUAUUGGACAAUGGGGGGAACCCUGAUCCAGCCAUGCCGCGUGUGUGAAGAAGGCCUUAUGGUUGUAAAGCACUUUAAGCGAGGAGGAGGCUCUUUUGGUUAAUACCCAAGAUGAGUGGACGUUACUCGCAGAAUAAGCACCGGCUAACUCUGUGCCAGCAGCCGCCGUAA